ACAACUGUCAUCUCCAAUUGCAGGUGUCACCAAUCCUGCUCCUGGAGAGCAGCUGCCCGGUAUGUUUUUCACAUCUACCUACUCAAGUCACACCUGAUUUUUGAAAAUUGGUGUUUUCCACC